GAUGAACGCUCGCGGCAGGCCUAACACAUGCAAGUCGAGGGAGAAGCCCUUUCGGGGGCAGAAACCGGCGCACGGGUGCGUAACGCGUAUGCAACCUACCUUUCACAGGGGGAUAGCCCGAAGAAAUUUGGAUUAAUACCCCAUAAUAUUAUUGGAUGGCAUCAUUUGAUAAUUAAAACUGCGGUGGUGAAAGAUGGGCAUGCGUCCUAUUAGCUGGUUGGAGUGGUAACGGCACCCCAAGGCUACGAUAGGUAGGGGUCCUGAGAGGGAGAUCCCCCACACUGGUACUGAGACAGGGACCAGACUCCUACGGGAGGCAGCAGUGAGGAAUAUUGGUCAAUGGUCGGAAGACUGAACCAGCCAUGCCGCGUGCAGGAAGAAUGCCUUAUGGGUUGUAAACUGCUUUUAGAUGGGAAGAAUAAGGCGUACGUGUACGUUGAUGACGGUACCAUAUGAAUAAGCAUCGGCUAACUCCGUG
rnacentral:rRNA from 1 species